UACGUAGGGGGCAAGCGUUAUCCGGAUUUACUGGGUGUAAAGGGAGCGUAGACGGCAGUGCAAGUCUGGAGUGAAAGGCGGGGGCUCAACCCCCGGACUGCUCUGGAAACUGUACGGCUGGAGUGCAGGAGAGGUAAGUGGAAUUCCUAGUGUAGCGGUGAAAUGCGUAGAUAUUAGGAGGAACACCAGUGGCGAAGGCGGCUUACUGGACUGUAACUGACGUUGAGGCUCGAAAGCGUGGGGAUCAAACAGG
rnacentral:rRNA from 1 species